AUUGCCAAAUCAAGGUUUGGAACUUCCCAAAGAUUCAAGGAGAAUUUUAAAAGCACCUUAUGAAAAGUGACUUAUAGACAGGAGCGUCAACUACAUCAAGUGUCAGUUGAUAUAUAUGUUUUGGUCAAAUACAUGUUUGUAUUUGAAAUAGAAGUUAUUAAAU
rnacentral:lncRNA from 1 species